rnacentral:rRNA from 1 species
AUUGUAAAUUUUAAUCCAACAUCGAGGUCGCAAACUUUUUUAUCGAUAAGAACUCUCCAAAAAAAUUACGCUGUUAUCCCUAAGGUAAUUUAAUCUUUUAAUCAAAAUUAUUGGAUCAAUAAAUCAUAAAUAAAUGAAAAAAAAAAAGAAAAGUUUAAUAAAUUUUCCGGUCACCCCAACAAAAUAAAUUAUUAAUCUUAUAAAAAUCAAUUCCUUAAUAUUCAAAAUUAAUAAUUUAUAAAACUCUAUAGGGUCUUCUCGUCUUUUAUAAAAAUUUAAGCUUUUUAACUUAAAUAUAAAAUUCUUUCAAAAAUUAAUUAUAGACAGUUCAUUUUUCAUCCAACCAUUCAUACAAGUUCCUAAUUAAGAAACUAAUGAUUAUGCUACCUUUGCACAGUCAAAAUACUGCGGCCAUUAAAUAAAUAUCAUUGGGCAGGUUAAACUUUAAAUAUAAAACAAAAAGCC